GACGAUGGGUCCAAGCGUUGUUCGGAAUCAUUGGGCGUAAAGCGGGUGUAGGCGGCUCUAUAAGUCAGGAGUGAAAGCCCCGAGCUUAACUUGGGAAGUGCUUUUGAUACUGUCGAGCUAGAGUGUGGAAGGGGCGAUUGGAAUUCCGUGUGUAGCGGUGAAAUGCGUAGAUAUACGGAGGAACACCAGAGGCGAAGGCGGAUCGCUGGGCCAACACUGACGCUGAUGUGCGAAAGCUAGGGGAGCAAACGGG
rnacentral:rRNA from 1 species